UACGAAGGGGGCUAGCGUUGCUCGGAAUCACUGGGCGUAAAGGGUGCGUAGGCGGGUCUUUAAGUCAGGGGGGAAAUCCUGGAGCUCAACUCCAGAACUGCCUUUGAUACUGAGGAUCUUGAGUUCGGGAGAGGUGAGUGGAACUGCGAGUGUAGAGGUGAAAUUCGUAGAUAUCUGGAGGAAUACCGGUGGCGAAGGCGGCAUCCUGGACCGGCAUUGACGCUGAGGAGCGAAAGCUAGGGGAGCAAACGGG
rnacentral:rRNA from 1 species